UAUUAAAAAUUUCAUCCAUUUCUACUGUGAAAAACUGGCGUAGCUAAUGGAAUAACCAGACAGUUACACACGUGUACCUCAUUUUUACGUACAAAGACCAAUUUUUAAUUGUAGAAAUGGAUGGAAUUUUUCAUA
rfam:Gossypium hirsutum cultivar TM-1 unplaced genomic scaffold scaffold26.1, whole genome shotgun sequence